rnacentral:rRNA from 1 species
CCUACGGGGGGCAGCAGUGGGGAAUAUUGCACAAUGGGGGGAACCCUGAUGCAGCAAUGCCGCGUGAAGGAUGACGGUUUUCGGAUUGUAAACUUCUUUUUUACGGGACGAAGAAAGUGACGGUACCGUAAGAAUAAGCCACGGCUAACUACGUGCCAGCAGCCGCGGUAAUACGUAGGUGGCAAGCGUUAUCCGGAUUUACUGGGUGUAAAGGGCGAGUAGGCGGGAUUGCAAGUCAGAUGGUAAAACUAUGGGCUGCACCGAUAGAGUGCCUUUGAAACUGCAGUUCUUGAGUGAUGGAGAGGUAUGCGGAAUGCGUGGUGUAGCGGUGGAAUGCGUAGAUAUCGGGAGGAACACCAGUGGCGAAGGCGGCCUGCUGGACAUUAACUGACGCUGAGGCGCGAAAGCGUGGGUAUCGAACAGGAUUAGAUACCCGAGUAGUC